GUGUGUGUAUAUAAUCUCCUGUGACUUUAGGAUCUGCCCUCUGGGCCUGUAGCUCAUACUUCUGGGCCCAAUUCUUUGCCCUCAGAAUUCUUCUUACUUCUUUUUGAGCAGAAGCAGCUAUUUGAACCCAAGUAGUUUAAUCAGCCUGUUUCCUGCCCGAAUAAUUUGAGUCCAACAAACUUUUCCUUAAUAGUUCUUUCCUCGAUUUAUCUCUUUUUUCUUGCAUUUUAUUGUAAGCAGCAAGAGUAAACAUGGCUGCACCUUAAAUACUUUGCCUGAAAAUCUCCUCCAUUAGAUAACCAAGUUCAUCACUUACAAGUUCUACUUUCCACCCAACUGUAGGACAAAAUUAAGCCAAGUUUUUGCCACUGUAUGUCAAUGAUCACUUUCCUCCAUUUUCCAAUAACACAUUCCUCACUUUCCUCUCAACUCUCACCAAAAGAUCCUUUGUGUUUAUAUUUUUACCAAUGUUCUAUUCAGGACUAUUUAUGUAUUCUCUUAGAGGAUAGCAGCUUAGUCUACCAUACUCCUCACUCCUUAUGAGCCCUAAUUUAUUAUCCAUUUCUAAAGCCACUUCUACAUUUUUAGGAUUUGUUAUACAGAAGCAACCCACCUCUGGUAACAUAUUCUGUAUUACUUUCCCAGGGAUGCCAUAAAAAUUACCAGAGUUGGGUAGCUUAACAUGACAGAAUUUAAUCUCUUGUAGUUCUGAAGACCAGCAAUACAAAAUCAGGAUGUUAGCAAGGCUGAACUCUCUCCAGAGGCCCUAGGAGAUAAUCCGUUUCUUGCCUCUUCCAGAUUCUGGUGAUUGCAGAUGUUCCCUGGCUUGUGGCCCAUCAUUUCAAUUUCUUUUUUUAUGUACACGUAGCUGCCUCGUCUGUGUAUGUGUCUUCUCUGAAUGUUUUUCUAAAAACUUUCCAUCCCUGUUUCUUAUCACAAUACACGUAAAUGCAUUGAGGGCUGCAGCUAAUUCUUAUAAUUCUAUGUUGUCUCAGCAUCCUUUUUGAACGCAAGUUUAACUCUCUCAUAUUAGAAGCAGGGGUUGGUCAUCCUUGACACAGGUUUCCAGUUCUACACCACACUCCAAUGACUCAAGCCAGUGGCCAGAGAUAAGAUCUUAGAGGCAUCUCUCCAACCCAGCAGACUGGGCUCCUUGCUUUCCUGUUAAUUCAUUUAAGUUUACCGUUUAGGCAUUUGUCGGCAAACUUAAAGUGAACCACAACCCAUUCUCUUAUACAUACCACAAGUUGCCUGCCAAAAACUUCUCUGUCCUUGCCUGACUUCAUUCCUGCCUCGUGUGACCCAGGGACCAACGACUUCUCUACAGACAUAUUGUGUCCUCCUUACCCAGAAUCUGAAAGUAAAAUAUUUGAACUUCUUUCCUGUUGUGGUGCAUUGAAUUUGUGGCUUUCAUUUGAAGAACUAGGGGCUACCCCAGGCUGGGUUUUCCCCAAGAUAUCAGGAAGAAUACGAAGUCAGGAUCCAACUGUCAGAGCAAUGGUCAGACAGGAUAAGCUGAACACAGGUCAGACAUACACCACAGGAGUGUCUACCACUCUAGUGGUAUACAAGUUUGCCACCUGACAGAUCCCCGUUCGUGGUUUGGACAACUACCCAUUAAGCUGUGUGCCAGGUAAAGGAACUUUCCUGUGAUAUGUACACUAUAAACACCCAUGUCUAGUUCCCCUGUGUUUCCCCGUAGGGUAGGAUUGCUAGCUGCUCUGGUACUAGAACUGCCAUUGAGCUGAGGGCUUUCAAAACAAGGGCUCAUUGUGGCAAGGAAAAUAUUAUUCUUGAAAUAUCCUUAACUUAAUCACAUCUUUUGUGCAUAUAAGGUAAUAGUCAAAAUUUCUGGAGAUUAGAAUGUGGACAUAUAUUUUUCGUGGCCAUUAUUUGGUCUAAUACCAGGUUGUUUCACUCUGGACUAUUUAAAUGGGUUUUCAAUUGAAUGGACUAAUUUAUAAGAAUGACACGUUUUCCUGAUUAAUUGCCCUGUUUCAAAGGAAUAGUUCUUAUUCUUACAGAUUCUCUUGAGCUAUCGUCUCAACCAUGGAAACAACUAGUUUUUCACAAGGAAGAAAGAAAAAAAAAAACAAAAAAAAA
ensembl:lncRNA